GGCCCGGGGGAGGGGCCGGGGGGGGGCCCCGACAGGCCCCUCGACCCCCCCAGCUCCCCUGAAGCCCCCCCCGGCCCCCCCAGAAAAGGGGCUUUUCACGGACGACCUGCACAGGCUGGUGGACGAGUGGGUGCAGGACACGGCCCGGGCACAGGGAACCUCGUCGUGGGUCUCGACCCUUCGUGGCACUCGCGGGACCCCCCAAAAAUGGGGGGAGCUGCCCCCCCCCAAACCCAACCUCCCUCCGGGGGCUGAGUGAGGGGGGGCCCCAAAAACCACUGUGUCCCCUCCGCCCACAUCCCCCCAUUCCACCCCAACCCCCCUGAUUUUGGGUCGUGUCCCCCCCCCGCACGGGCUCAUCCCAAUUUGGCUCCUGAGUCACUUUGUUUCACCCCCUGAGUCCCUUGGUUUGACCCCCUGGAGGGUGACCCCAGAUUUCCAGCCCCAAAAUCGCCUCAUUACACCCCAAAACUCCCCUUUUUGGGGGCCCAACUCCCUCCCAUGGUGUGACCUUACCUUUGGCCCAAAAUUGCCUUAUUUUGCCCCCAAAAUACCCCUUUUUUGCUCCCUCCAGAUUGAAUCCCUUAUUUUGGCCCCAAAUCACUGUAUUUUACCCCAUUUUUUAGGUCACUCCCCCUUUUCACCCUUCCCCCCAGGUGACCCCACUUUCUGAUUCCCAAAAUCCCCUCAUUUCACCUCAAAACCCCCCUUUUUUUGGGCCUUCCCCCUCUGCAUGAGGUGACCCCAAUUUUUAGCCCCCAAAUCACCUCGUUUCAGCCACAAACUCCCUUUUUUGUGGCCUUUUCCAUCCUUCCCUGAUGUGACCCCACUUUUCACCCCCAAAAUCUCUUAAUUUCACCCCAAUCCCCCUUUUUUGGACCUAUUUCCCUUUUUUUACAUCUCCCCCAGGACAUGAUGCCACUUUUUACCCCCAAAA